CAGUCGAGCGAUUUACUUCGGUAAAGAGCGGCGGACGGGUGAGUAACGCGUGGGUAACCUGCCCUGUACACACGGAUAACAUACCGAAAGGUAUGCUAAUACGAGAUAAAAUACUUUUAUCGCAUGGUAGAAGUAUCAAAGCUUUUGCGGUACAGGAUGGACCCGCGUCUGAUUAGCUAGUUGGUAAGGUAACGGCUUACCAAGGCGACGAUCAGUAGCCGACCUGAGAGGGUGAUCGGCCACAUUGGAACUGAGACACGGUCCAAACUCCUACGGGAGGCAGCAGUGGGGAAUAUUGCACAAUGGGCGAAAGCCUGAUGCAGCAACGCCGCGUGAGCGAUGAAGGCCUUCGGGUCGUAAAGCUCUGUCCUCAAGGAAGAUAAUGACGGUACUUGAGGAGGAAGCCCCGGCUAACUACGUGCCAGCAGCCGCGGUAAUACGUAGGGGGCUAGCGUUAUCCGGAAUUACUGGGCGUAAAGGGUGCGUAGGUGGUUUCUUAAGUCAGAGGUGAAAGGCUACGGCUCAACCGUAGUAAGCCUUUGAAACUGGGGAACUUGAGUGCAGGAGAGGAGAGUGGAAUUCCUAGUGUAGCGGUGAAAUGCGUAGAUAUUAGGAGGAACACCAGUUGCGAAGGCGGCUCUCUGGACUGUAACUGACACUGAGGCACGAAAGCGUGGGGAGCAAACAGGAUUAGAUACCCUGGUAGUCCACGCCGUAAACGAUGAGUACUAGCUGUCGGAGGUUACCCCCUUCGGUGGCGCAGCUAACGCAUUAAGUACUC
rnacentral:rRNA from 1 species